GACAGAGGGUGCAAGCGUUGUUCGGAAUCAUUGGGCGUAAAGCGCGCGUAGGCGGUUUCGUAAGUCGCAUGUGAAAUCCCCGGGCUCAACCUGGGAAGUGCAUGCGAUACUGUGAGACUAGAAUCUCGGAGAGGGUGGUGGAAUUCCCAGUGUAGAGGUGAAAUGCGUAGAUAUCAGGAGGAACACCGAUUGCGAAGGCAGCUCGCUGGGACGUAACUGACGCUGAGACGCGAAAGCGUGGGGAGCAAACAGG
rnacentral:rRNA from 1 species